rnacentral:lncRNA from 1 species
AUCAGGUCUGGUGUGGUUUCUUUGCCAGUCAAUGCUGACUGUGAGUGUGGUAUAAAGAACAGCCCGAGAUGCAGUCCUGGCAAACAUUGGCUUUAUUGGCAAUCGGUGUGAAAGCGAUGUACUUGUUUCUUUGCAGAAUUGGGCUGCUUAUGACUGGAGUUGGUGGAACCGAGGAACUAUGUAUGUUGAAUCUGAUUUGGACCAACUCUCUGUGUGGAGCAAAGCAUCCUUCUUGAAGACAGUAAACACACCUACAUUUAUCUUUCUCAUGUGGAAUCACUCCCCCACCCCAAACUGCUUAGAAAGCUCAAGCUGUUGUCUCCUUAUGUCCCAUGAGAUCAAGAUCUGUCAUCAACUCUGAAGCCAAUUUCCAUCAGACAUUUUAAACAAGACAGAAAGAGUAAUGUGUGA